rnacentral:tRNA from 1 species
CCUGUAGCUCAGAGGAUAGAGCACCGGUUUCCUAAACCGGGAGUCGAGCGUUCGAGUCGCCCCAGGGGCGCCA